CUGUAGAACCACUAUUUUCGAAGUUAUAGCCCAUUCUAGUGACGAAAAUCCACGUGUGUCUACCGCCACUAAAGAAAAUUACGAACGCAGUGAGUCAUGUAAAACUCGGAUAUAUUUCCGACUUAUUUCUGCAACUGAGUACGACAUGCAAAACAUUAUUCCGUACCUCGAUUUACAAGAAGUUGUUACCAAGCCCGCUGAACCAAUUCGUGGAGUUGGUUGGUAUCUUCGCGGUUCUCCCGGAUAUGGAGGAUUUCUUGCUCUUAAGAUUUU